CAGCAGCGCUGCAAGGCACGCUGGGAGUUCUGGCUCUACCCUCUGAAGGGCCCUGGAGGGCUGCAUGUGUAAUAAGAGCCCAGAGUUGAUUUUUAGAGGUUCGCAACAUUAGGAAUUCAUAUAAAAGGUUAAACCGAAGAUUACUGCUUUCAGUGCAGAGACGACAAGUCUUCCGGAACACCGUGGGGACAUGUACCACUGCGUACAGAUUUUACAUCCCACGCUGAAGGGUGGGGACUGAGAGCCGCUCCUGCACGUGAUUCCUGCGCCUUUUUGUUACUGGCUCCUUCAGGGACGAGGCGCUCGGGCGCGGACGCCCCGGAUUGGUGUUUCAGGGCAGCGGGGUGGGACUCUGGCUGCUGCCGCGGGAGGUCCGGACACUGGCGGCCAUGGAACUCGCCGGUACUGGACGACACGUAUCUCAACGGGGUUGCUCUAAGGACUAAUGCCUACACCGUCUCAGCAUGGCCUAUCGAGGACGACGUGGCCAUCCUCGCUUUGCUGCGCGCUACCGUGUUAACCGUGGAACUCUUUACACCUAUAGAACCCGUACCCAUAAUAUAUGCAUGGUUUCGGAUUUUUUCUACCCGAAUAUGGGAGGCGUGGAAAGCCACAUUUACCAGCUCUCUCAGUGCCUGAUUGAAAGAGGACACAAGGUCAUAAUUGUCACCCAUGCUUAUGAAAAUCGCAAAGGCAUCCGUUACCUCACGAAUGGCCUCAAAGUCUAUUACUUGCCUCUGAAAGUCAUGUACAACCAGUCUACAGCCACGACCCUGUUUCACAGUCUGCCAUUGCUCAGGUACAUAUUUGUUCGGGAGAGAGUCACGAUAAUCCAUUCACAUAGUUCCUUUUCUGCCAUGGCCCAUGAUGCCCUCUUCCACGCCAAGACAAUGGGGCUCCAGACAGUCUUCACGGACCAUUCCCUUUUUGGAUUUGCUGAUGUCAGCUCGGUGCUUACAAACAAGCUUCUAACUGUGUCUCUUUGUGACACAAACCACAUAAUUUGUGUCUCUUUUACUAGUAAGGAAAACACUGUACUAAGAGCAGCACUGAAUCCUGAAAUAGUGUCCGUCAUUCCUAAUGCUGUAGAUCCUACUGACUUCACUCCAGACCCAUUUAGAAGGCAUGAUAGUAUAAUAACUAUUGUUGUUGUCAGCAGACUUGUUUACAGAAAAGGGACCGAUUUGCUUAGUGGUAUAAUACCUGAACUCUGUCAGAAAUAUCCAAAUUUAAAUUUCAUAAUUGGAGGAGAGGGACCAAAGAGAAUCAUUUUGGAAGAAGUACGGGAAAGAUACCAGCUACAUGACAGAGUGCGUCUCUUGGGAGCCUUAGAACACAAGGAUGUUAGAAAUGUCUUAGUUCAAGGACACAUUUUUCUCAAUACUUCCCUUACCGAAGCGUUCUGCAUGGCAAUUGUGGAAGCAGCCAGUUGUGGUUUGCAGGUUGUAAGUACCAAAGUUGGUGGAAUUCCUGAAGUACUUCCAGAAAAUCUUAUUAUUUUAUGUGAGCCUUCUGUAAAAUCUUUGUGUGAGGGAUUGGAAAAAGCUAUUUCCCAACUGAAGUCAGGAACAUGGCCAGCUCCCGAAAAUAUCCAUAACGUAGUAAAGACUUUCUACACCUGGAGGAAUGUUGCCGAGAGAACUGAAAAAGUAUGUCAUGUGCCAAGAAAAGGGUAUUUGAAGAUUGUGUCUGAAUUCCUGAUUCAUGUAUACGUUUACUUUUUCUUAUUUAUACAGGUUUACUGUUUCAGUUCUAUUGCUUAAGCUUAUGAAGUCUCUUCCCAAUGAAAAGACGUGAACUAAUGGAUUACUUUUGGUAUAUGCUAGACUUCAAGUUUCUAGUCAGAUCGUUGGAUUUGACAUCUGAAAAUAGCAGUCAUGCAGUCUAGACCUUUGAUUAAACUGGGCAUAAAGAAGUUACAGAAUUUUCUAGAGGCCACACCAUUGGAGGCAAAACUAAUAUUAAAAUCUACUCUUGGACAUUUUUGUGAGGCUGUUUAUCAUUCUAAAGUGUAUAGGUCUGUCAGAAAAUACAUGGUUUUACUUAAUCUGAUUGUGGAAACUUUGUAACUUGUAAAUAUUUAAUUCAGGUUACUUCCUAAAACUCUUGUGUCACUUUUGCUAACUACUGUGAUUUUCUACAGGAAAAGGAUUUUUGCAUCUUUGAGCUGAUUGAGAACCUAAGUUAGAAUUCAAAAUGCACAUGACAAAUGUCGGAUAUAUGAUCACAAAUAAAAAGCAGCAAUAGAGAAUUUCCGAAAGGACAGGUACAGGAAAUAGAUUAAUACCCUUAGGUGGGAGAGUUCGGUUAUGGGAAAUGCUUCCUGGUUUCAAGUCAAGGACUUCAUUUAUUCUACUCAGUUUCAUCCGUCCUUUGUUUAGGUAUUAAUAUCUUUCAUUACUUUGUCUGCCUCAUGCCUUUUAGUAGCAUGUAAACAAGCUGGAUGGAAACACCCUGCUUCUUAGUAUAUAGAAAUUGAGAACCAGACAGUUAGUGAGUUGGGAGCAUGGAGAAGAUAGUAGUUUAGACUAGUGCUUUCUGCUAUCAUUGUAGUCAGCGGAGCACCUAGUUUCUAGCCUGAAGAUGGAGCUGAGUAAGCAGAAUAGCUCUUUCCUGCAUGGCUUUCUUACUUGGUUUAAAUGAUAAAUUCCUGUACAUAAGAAGAACCCAUAUUUGAAUAUAAGUACAAACAUUGUCAUAUCCAUUUUCCAUUGAACCAGGAGAUAUUUGAGUUAAACAAUUUUGACUGAAAUGUCUCUGAGACACUAACCUUCUAGAAGUUUUACAGUCUCUCCACCCAUAUGAAAUAACUACCUUUCCCUGGGUUUCCUUUGGAAGUUGGAGUAUAGCACUGAUUACCUGCUAGGAGUACAUGUCAGAACCACCUAGGUAGCUUUUUGGGGACAGUUUCAUUCCAUCUUUGUGUCCCUUGCUUCUCCAGCCACUGCCUAGAUUCUAACAUGACCUUUGAAGGGCAGAGGUGGCAUUUGGGAAUGGUUGGCAGGGAUAUUUGGUCAGACUGGUUUUUUCAGUGAUACUCCACUCUGUUGAGACCCACAGCUCUGUAACUUGUGGCUCCCCCGUCUUGAUCAACAUCGUGUAAACCUCAGAAGUCUGAGCUACUGUAGAUAGUAAGUUCAAGGCAAAUAACUCUUUUUUUGUCAGCAUAUUUUAAGGGAGCUAACUAAUUACGAUUUUUUUAACCAUAAAUUUUGUUUAAGUUUUGCUUGAAGUACUAGUAAAAAUCUGGAUUUUUUUUCUAUUUUAUAUUCUGUGGUGAUUUAUGGUAUACAUUCCAAAAAAAGUUACUCCUUGUAUGUAGUGGAUUGUCAUGUCUAUCAUUCUCUUCCUAGUAAAUUACUUGGGCAUUUAAGGUUGAAAAUUAAUUGACCUGGAAAUAAAAGGUGGACACGCAGGUCAGUUUGUAGUUGUCUUUGCAUUCUACCUGUCCCACACAUGACACUUUGAUCCCUUUUGACUUCCCCUCCUUAGUCUGUGCUGUUUAGAAACUUGAACAAGUUAUGAUUUGCCCGUCUCAGCAUGAUUGUCAACAUACUUUUGAUUCAGAGGUAUUCGAGAUGUCCUCAAGGUGGAAGAGCCCGAUGAAAACAUCCUGUGUCUUUCAGAGGCCAUUGGCCUGUAGGACUUGCGUUGCACAUCAUAAGUUUCUUGAGUUCAGAAGGAGGUGGUUUACAGACCUGAUAUGAGAAGCACAAGUAAUGCUCAAAUGCAAUUAAAAACAUUAAUGUUGGCCCAUUUUAUGUGUUCAGAAUAAGAAUGUUUAAAGAUCUUUGUUUUUUCUCAUAUUUCUGAGUUUAGUGCUUAGCAGUGCUGUAAAAAGCAAGCCACCUACUAUCGAUGCUCAGCAAUAAAGCUUGUUGCCUUUGCCUGUACCCUCUAUGAAGAGUUGCCCCGUUUCUUUCCCCUCCUCUUAUUUGGAAUCCGUGAAAUGUUUCUGUACCUUCUCAGCCUCCGUGCUCAGCAACACAGCCUCACGUGGCUGCGGAAAGAAGAGCUGCUCUGUACCCAAAAAGAAUCACACUGUAGCUUGUCAUUCUCUGAUUGUGCUUGAUGUCUGCCAGGUAGCGAGCGGUGAACCUUAGAAGGCCUGUUCUGCUUCAGGGAGUCACUGCUGAAUUAAACAUGGCCUCGACAGAGGCGACCCGAGGAACACUUCCAGCUUCUCAGGACUUCAGAAUUCUCGUAGUUGGUUGAAAGUGAUGGUGGUCCCUAGGGGACAGGACCCGCGGCCUGUUCGUCUUUGUAUGGCAUGGCGUCUAGCCCGGUGUUUUGUCCAUAAUAAGUACUGCAUGAGUGUUGGAUCAGGAGGCAGUAAUUUUGUAACGAAUUUCAUUAGCCACAUCAUUCCUAUAACAACAACGAGAUGUGUACGAUCGGGUGGCAGGAGAAGCUGUGUUACCGAUGGACAGACGGCUGGACAGACUCAUCUCUCACUGUGGCCCAGUAACAGGCUGC